rnacentral:rRNA from 1 species
CUCCUACGGGAGGCAGCAGUAGGGAAUCUUCGGCAAUGGGGGGAACCCUGACCGAGCAACGCCGCGUGAGUGAAGAAGGUUUUCGGAUCGUAAAGCUCUGUUGUAAGAGAAGAACGGGUGUGAGAGUGGAAAGUUCACACUGUGACGGUAUCUUACCAGAAAGGGACGGCUAACUACGUGCCAGCAGCCGCGGUAAUACGUAGGUCCCGAGCGUUGUCCGGAUUUAUUGGGCGUAAAGCGAGCGCAGGCGGUUAGAUAAGUCUGAAGUUAAAGGCUGUGGCUUAACCAUAGUAUGCUUUGGAAACUGUUUAACUUGAGUGCAGAAGGGGAGAGUGGAAUUCCAUGUGUAGCGGUGAAAUGCGUAGAUAUAUGGAGGAACACCGGUGGCGAAAGCGGCUCUCUGGUCUGUAACUGACGCUGAGGCUCGAAAGCGUGGGGAGCAAACAGGAUUAGAUACCCUGGUAGUCCACGCCGUAAACGAUGAGUGCUAGGUGUUAGGCCCUUUCCGGGGCU